UAUUCAUCUUAUCCUCUCUUCCCUCCUUCUGGGACCUAACUGGUUUCGAUGUCUAAAAUGGAGAUGCAAACAGCUCACUGAUUACCCAUAAAACAGCUUCAUAUAACUUCAGUUUGAUAUAUUUCAGGAGCUCAUAUUGGACCAGAACCGACUACUGACAGAUUUGUUGUUGUCAUGUCUGGACCUGAUGAAAGAAGCAUUCCGAGGAACACAGUAGCGGUUCAAGCAGAUAUGACAUUUAGUGGUAUUACAACUUUUGGGACUGCCUUUUUGUCAAAGUUUGAAUGCUCUUUGAUGCCUCACCUUCUGGUGGAGCAUGCAACAUUUGUUGAUACCCCCAGGAGUUUUAUCAGGUGAAAAGAAAAGGACACAGCAAGCUUAUGAAUUAUAACUGGUGUCACGUCAUGGUUUGCCUCUAAGUGUGAUCUCAUCCUCCUCCUAUUUGACCCACAUAAGCUGGAUGUAAGUGAUGAUUUCAAGCCUGUAAUUUCAUCUUUACGCGGUCAUGAUGACAAGAUCCGCGUAGUUCUGAAUAAGGCUGACCAAGUGGACACUCAGCAGCUAAUGGGGGUAUAUGGAGCUCUCAUGUGGUCGCUUGGGAAAGUUCUCAAUACUCCUGAGGUUUCCCGUGUCUAUAUUGGUUCGUUCAGUGAUAAACCCAUAAAUGACGCUGCAACUGGUCCAAUUGGGAGCAAGAUGACCUUUUCGCUGCUUUAAAAGACAUUCCAAAGAAAGCUUGCAAUCGUCGAGUGAGUGUGAACAUCAAAAAGGAGCUAUCAAGAGGGAGAGAGCUAUGGUUUAUGCUUUGAAAGAAACUGUAGCAGCACUGUAUUGAACAUCAAACUUUACAUUUCCACUCUCUUAUCUAAAAUCUUUUCUUUAA